rnacentral:lncRNA from 1 species
AUGGAAAAGAAGAAAAACUUCAGUCUACCUUAUCUAGAAGAGAGAAACAUUCCUCCAUUUUCACUACAGUUACCUGACUGUGUCAGACCUCAAUUACUUACUCCACCUUUACUUGAUUUUAUUUUGCUGUGUUUUUUUUGUUUUGCUGGCAACUGUCCUGUAUCAGUGUUUUUCUGUUAUGCGCACAGCUUAACUGAGCAAGGUCAACAAGAAAAACUGGAAUAUAUUCAAUUCAGUGUUUGCAAAUUUGUUCUUGCAGAGUGUUUGACCUCUGGAACGUAUUUGCAGAUAUUGCUUCAAAACUGAUAACAGCUGAGACAGAUUUUGGAAAAUCGACAAACAGUGGCCAAAAUCUCCGGAAAACACCCUAAAUUUGCAGUUUUACAUAUGUCAGUUGAUGCGCAUAUUGCACCAUUUUCUCUAAGGAGCCUACUACAAGAUUGUAAUGUCUCAAAUAUCUAAAUCCAACAGCAGCCACAUUUCUUCCUCUUGUUGUUGUGAGCAUAAGCAGGGUGCAAACUACAGGGGGGCCAGGGGAGCCCUUAAUAAGUCAUGAGCUGCUCUGAAAACAAAAUAUGUGAAAUAUUGGGCGAUCGCUAAAAUACUGACAAUAUGCUUUUGCCUUGCAUUUCUUUCUGUAUCUUCAUCAUCGUGUAUCAUAUGUACUGUUAGGCUAAUAUUGAUGCAUGAUUCAUGCAUGAGGGUGAUCUAAUUUACUUUAAUAAAGAUACAGGCACACAUGCUAUUGAACAUUGAAGCAUAGUGCCGCAAUAUCAUUAACUUCACUCCCUUUAACUCAAAUAUAAGAAGAAAAAAGUAAAUAAAUUCUUAGUCCCACUGAGUAUGCACACAGAAUCGUUGCAUUAUUCGCUGCUGUGUUUUGUAGUGAGCAUAAUAUGAGUCAAUCAAUCCUCGCUUGAGGCACAAUCACACCCCCACAAGUGAAGAAGUAUAGUUCGCACACUGAGCAUAAGCAGAUCACUGAACCUCACAUGCUAUUGUAAUAAUUCAACAUUUUGAGAAAUACACUUAUUUCAUCUCUUUAUUAUUGAGUUAGAGGAGAAAACCGGUACCACUCUACACUAAAUUUAAAGAUGAGGAGGUAAAAAACACUUCUAGAAAGAGAAUUACUUAUUAACAUAUUCUAUACACAAACAGAAGAAAACAACCGUUUAUGGAGAGUUAUAGUAGCUGUAACCAUUCCUUGACAAAUAGCAGCAAAAGAAAGAGCACAUAGCUCCCUCAACAACCACAAAUUGUAAUUCUUACAUUUCUGUUUGUGUUCAUUAGUUGUUGGUAGGUUCAUAGCUUGCGCCACACUUAGCACAAAGACGUGGUAUCAUUCCUUACAUUUAAUAUACAGCAAGAAGCAAAUAAGCAGAUCUUUUUAAUGUAAAAAAUACAUGUUGAAACACAAUCUGCUGAAACUAUCACAUUUCAUUAUUGGCAAGUUGUUAAAUGGUUUAAAGAACUGAGCAACAAUUAGUUCUUUAAACAUAAGUUUGGUAUUACGUAACGACACUAGAUAUAAUGCUGAUUCGUCUCCUGUGUUCAUGUUUCAGGCUUGUAGUUGGCUGUAGUUUUACUGUGGUCUGUGUAAAGUUGUAUCAUUCAGAUCAUUUUCUAGCCCACAGGUGAAGCCCAAUGAUAUCUGCUCAAAUCCAUUUUCUCACAGGACUUUUGUACCCUGCAUUUAAAUGUUUUUAAUAAAUGAUUGAACCUAAUUACACCUGUUUCUGACAUUUUUAUCCAGUCCAAGUCAUGUCCUCUCUUAAAUGAGAACUCCUUAUGUCUUCUACAUGUCUUACUGAUCUGUUGCACUAAUGACCACUUUUUUGUCUGUUGACAGAUGCAGCCAAUUAGUCAGGUGUGUGUGGUAUACAUAAAGUCCAAACACAUCAUAUCACCUUCCCCCGAGCAAUGAUUUCCAGUUGUGUACAAGGCACAAACAGUGUGUUUGUGUUUGUUUGUGUGCACCUUUGAAUGUUUGCAUCCCUGUUUUCCCUCAUUUGCAUGUUUCAUGAGGACUGUAGACGAAAUGAGUGCUGACAUCAUGCUUUUUGGACUCUGUCCUGUCCACUUGGUCCAGCACUUGUGUGUCCUGCCAGAUCCUGUUAAUUGGUGUAUUUCAAUUGCUUUCAAAGUGGCCGACCAGUCAAGAAAUUGUGUCCGCUCCCAGUUUGUAACAGAAAUAAAUGAGAGAGAAUCCAUGUGGGAGUGUGUAGCCAGUCCUAGUUUCUUCC